rnacentral:rRNA from 1 species
CCCUUAGAGUUUGAUCCUGGCUCAGGAUGAACGCUGGCGGCGUGCUUAACACAUGCAAGUCGAGCGAAGCGAUUUAAAUGUGACUUCGGUGGAUUUUAAAUUGACUGAGCGGCGGACGGGUGAGUAACGCGUGGAUAACCUGCCUCACACAGGGGGAUAACAGUUAGAAAUGACUGCUAAUACCGCAUAAGCGCACGGUACUGCAUGGUACAGUGUGAAAAACUCCGGUGGUGUGAGAUGGAUCCGCGUCUGAUUAGGUAGUUGGUGAGGUAACGGCCCACCAAGCCGACGAUCAGUAGCCGACCUGAGAGGGUGACCGGCCACAUUGGGACUGAGACACGGCCCAAACUCCUACGGGAGGCAGCAGUGGGGAAUAUUGCACAAUGGGCGAAAGCCUGAUGCAGCAACGCCGCGUGAGUGAAGAAGUAUCUCGGUAUGUAAAGCUCUAUCAGCAGGGAAGAAAA